UCGAAAUUUGCGUGGUGUUGGACUUUUUCGUGAUAGUUUGUCUAGUGGGAACUUGAAAUAGUUGGGAAAAUUUUUUUGUAUCAGUUGUAGAAAACAAACUUGAUUCGAAUUUUGCAUGGUGUUGAACUUCUUUCGUGAUAGUUUGUCCAGAAGAAACUUGAAAUAUUUGAGAAAAUUCAUUUGUAGCAGUUGUUGAAAACAAACUUGAUUCGAAUUUUGCAUGGUGUUGAACUUCUUUCGUGAUAGUUUGUCUAGUAGGAACUUGAAAUAAAGUCAGUGAAAAAACAACCCAAGUUUCCAAUAGAUGUAGAUUUUUAGUGGAAAACCAACCAUUUUUAUUGUGAAUCAGGUUGAAUCAGUGGGCUGAUCGAUUGGACUUGGACUGUUGUGAAUCGGAAUUAGUGCUCGAAUAAGUUAUUUCUGUGAUAAUAUACUUUGCGGACUAUACGGAUUUAGCUAGUUCGAAAACAUUUUUUAAAUUUUGAAAAGUGCUGGACAUUUACAGUGGUGUGCAAACAUCUGCUAUCUGGAGGAGGAACAUUUCUAAGGCCUGGGCGUGCCUUGAAAUGAAGGAGGAGACUUGCGCUAUUUGACGAUAGUAGAACUCGGAAACG